AUAGAGUCAAGUGAAUAAGUGCAUCAGGCGGAUGCCUUGGCGAUGAUAGGCGACGAAGGACGUGUAAGCCUGCGAAAAGCGCGGGGGAGCUGGCAAUAAAGCUAUGAUUCCGCGAUGUCCGAAUGGGGAAACCCACUGCAUUCUGUGCAGUAUCCUAAGUUGAAUACAUAGGCUUAGAGAAGCGAACCCGGAGAACUGAACCAUCUAAGUACCCGGAGGAAAAGAAAUCAACCGAGAUUCCGCAAGUAGUGGCGAGCGAACGCGGAGGAGCCUGUACGUAAUAACUGUCGAGAUAGAAGAACAAGCUGGGAAGCUUGACCAUAGCGGGCGACAGUCCCGUAUUCGAAAUCUCAACAGCGGUACUAAGCGUACGAAAAGUAGGGCGGGACACGUGAAAUCCUGUCUGAAUAUGGGGGGACCAUCCUCCAAGGCUAAAUACUCAUCAUCGACCGAUAGUGAACCAGUACCGUGAGGGAAAGGCGAAAAGAACCCCGGGAGGGGAGUGAAACAGAACCUGAAACCUGAUGCAUACAAACAGUGGGAGCGCCCUAGUGGUGUGACUGCGUACCUUUUGUAUAAUGGGUCAACGACUUACAUUCAGUAGCGAGCUUAACCGGAUAGGGGAGGCGUAGGGAAACCGAGUCUUAAUAGGGCGAUGAGUUGCUGGGUGUAGACCCGAAACCGAGUGAUCUAUCCAUGGUCAGGUUGAAGGUGCCGUAACAGGUACUGGAGGACCGAACCCACGCAUGUUGCAAAAUGCGGGGAUGAGCUGUGGGUAGGGGUGAAAGGCUAAACAAACUCGGAGAUAGCUGGUUCUCCCCGAAAACUAUUUAGGUAGUGCCUCGAGCAAGACACUGAUGGGGGUAAAGCACUGUUAUGGCUAGGGGGUUAUUGCAACUUACCAACCCAUGGCAAACUCAGAAUACCAUCAAGUGGUUCCUCGGGAGACAGACAGCGGGUGCUAACGUCCGUUGUCAAGAGGGAAACAACCCAGACCGCCGGCUAAGGUCCCAAAUGAUAGAUUAAGUGGUAAACGAAGUGGGAAGGCACAGACAGCCAGGAUGUUGGCUUAGAAGCAGCCAUCAUUUAAAGAAAGCGUAAUAGCUCACUGGUCGAGUCGUCCUGCGCGGAAGAUGUAACGGGGCUCAAAUCUAUAACCGAAGCUGCGGAUGCCGGUUUACCGGCAUGGUAGGGGAGCGUUCUGUAGGCUGAUGAAGGUGCAUUGUAAAGUGUGCUGGAGGUAUCAGAAGUGCGAAUGUUGACAUGAGUAGCGAUAAAGCGGGUGAAAAGCCCGCUCGCCGAAAGCCCAAGGUUUCCUACGCAACGUUCAUCGGCGUAGGGUAAGUCGGCCCCUAAGGCGAGGCAGAAAUGCGUAGUCGAUGGGAAACAGGUUAAUAUUCCUGUACUUGAUUCAAAUGCGAUGUGGGGACGGAGAAGGUUAGGUUGGCAAGCUGUUGGAAUAGCUUGUUUAAGCCGGUAGGUGGAAGACUUAGGCAAAUCCGGGUUUUCUUAACACCGAGAAGUGAUGACGAGUGUCUACGGACACGAAGCAACCGAUACCACGCUUCCAGGAAAAGCCACUAAGCUUCAGUUUGAAUCGAACCGUACCGCAAACCGACACAGGUGGGCAGGAUGAGAAUUCUAAGGCGCUUGAGAGAACUCGGGAGAAGGAACUCGGCAAAUUGAUACCGUAACUUCGGGAGAAGGUAUGCCCUCUAAGGUUAAGGACUUGCUCCGUAAGCCCCGGAGGGUCGCAGAGAAUAGGUGGCUGCGACUGUUUAUUAAAAACACAGCACUCUGCCAACACGAAAGUGGACGUAUAGGGUGUGACGCCUGCCCGGUGCCGGAAGGUUAAUUGAAGAUGUGCAAGCAUCGGAUCGAAGCCCCGGUAAACGGCGGCCGUAACUAUAACGGUCCUAAGGUAGCGAAAUUCCUUGUCGGGUAAGUUCCGACCCGCACGAAUGGCGUAACGAUGGCCACACUGUCUCCUCCCGAGACUCAGCGAAGUUGAAGUGGUUGUGAAGAUGCAAUCUACCCGCUGCUAGACGGAAAGACCCCGUGAACCUUUACUGUAGCUUUGCAUUGGACUUUGAAGUCACUUGUGUAGGAUAGGUGGGAGGCUUGGAAGCAGAGACGCCAGUCUCUGUGGAGUCGUCCUUGAAAUACCACCCUGGUGUCUUUGAGGUUCUAACCCAGACCCGUCAUCCGGGUCGGGGACCGUGCAUGGUAGGCAGUUUGACUGGGGCGGUCUCCUCCCAAAGCGUAACGGAGGAGUUCGAAGGUUACCUAGGUCCGGUCGGAAAUCGGACUGAUAGUGCAAUGGCAAAAGGUAGCUUAACUGCGAGACCGACAAGUCGGGCAGGUGCGAAAGCAGGACAUAGUGAUCCGGUGGUUCUGUAUGGAAGGGCCAUCGCUCAACGGAUAAAAGGUACUCCGGGGAUAACAGGCUGAUUCCGCCCAAGAGUUCAUAUCGACGGCGGAGUUUGGCACCUCGAUGUCGGCUCAUCACAUCCUGGGGCUGUAGUCGGUCCCAAGGGUAUGGCUGUUCGCCAUUUAAAGUGGUACGUGAGCUGGGUUUAAAACGUCGUGAGACAGUUUGGUCCCUAUCUGCAGUGGGCGUUGGAAGUUUGACGGGGGCUGCUCCUAGUACGAGAGGACCGGAGUGGACGAACCUCUGGUGUACCGGUUGUAACGCCAGUUGCAUAGCCGGGUAGCUAAGUUCGGAAGAGAUAAGCGCUGAAAGCAUCUAAGCGCGAAACUCGCCUGAAGAUGAGACUUCCCUUGCGGUUUAACCGCACUAAAGGGUCGUUCGAGACCAGGACGUUGAUAGGUGGGGUGUGGAAGCGCGGUAACGCGUGAAGCUAACCCAUACUAAUUGCCCGUGAGGCUUGACUCUAU
rnacentral:rRNA from 1 species